rnacentral:rRNA from 1 species
GAUGAACGCUGGCGGCGUGCCUAAUACAUGCAAGUCGAGCGAAGCGGGGACGGGUGAGUAACACGUGGAUAACCUCCUAUAAGACUGGGAUAACUUCGGGAAACACGAGCUAAACCGGCUACUUAUAGAUUGAUCCCCGCUGCAUUAGCUAGUUGGGAGGGUAACGGCUUACCAAGGCAACGAUGCAUAGCCGACCUGCGCGGGUGAUCGGCCACACGGGAACUGAGACAGGGCCCAGACGCCUACGGUAGGCAGCAGUAGGGAAUCUUCCGCAAUGGGCGAAAGUCUGACGGAGCAACGCAGAGUGAGGGAUGAAGGUCUUCGGAUCGUAAAACUCGGUUAUUAGGUAAGCGGUACCUAAUCAGAAAGCCACGGCUAACUACGUGCCAGCAGCCGCGGUAAUUC